rnacentral:rRNA from 1 species
AGUGAACGCUGGCGGUAGGCCUAACACAUGCAAGUCGAACGGCAGAACAGUACUUGCUUCCUGUUACAGGGGCCGAGUGGCGGGUGGGUCCGAGGAACAUCCCUAUCUACUUUUUCGUGGGGGAUAACGUGGGGGCUAAUACGCCAUAACUGCAUACGACCUACGGGUGGGAGCAGGGGACCUUACGCUAUCACGUGAGUCUAUGUCGGAUUAGCUAGUUGGCGGGGUAAAGGCCUACCAAGGCGACGAUCCGUAACUGGUCUGAGAGGAUGAUCAGCCACACUGGAACUGAGACACGGUCCAGACUCCUACGGGAGGCAGCAGUGGGGAAUAUUGGACAAUGGGCGCAAGCCUGAUCCAGCCAUGCCGCGUGUGUGAAGAAGGCCUUCGGAUUGUAAAGCCCUUUUGUUGGGAAAGAAAAGCAGCAGGUUAAUACCCCGCUGUUCUGACGUUACCCAAAGAAUAAGCACCGGCUAACUUCGUG